rnacentral:rRNA from 1 species
GCGCACGCUGGCGGCAGGCUUCACACAUGCCAGUCGAGCGGGCACUUCGGUGUCAGCGGCAGACGGGUGAGUAACACGUGGGAACGUACCCUUUGGUUCGGAAUAACGCUGGGAAACUAGCGCUAAUACCGGAUACGCCCUUUUGGGGAAAGGCUUGCUGCCGAAGGAUCGGCCCGCGUCUGAUUAGCUAGUUGGUGGGGUAAUGGCCUACCAAGGCGACGAUCAGUAGCUGGUCUGAGAGGAUGAUCAGCCACACUGGGACUGAGACACGGCCCAGACUCCUACGGGAGGCAGCAGUGGGGAAUAUUGGACAAUGGGCGCAAGCCUGAUCCAGCCAUGCCGCGUGAGUGAUGAAGGCCUUAGGGUUGUAAAGCUCUUUUGUCCGGGACGAUAAUGACGGUACCGGAAGAAUAAGCCCCGGCUAACUUCGU